rnacentral:rRNA from 1 species
ACUACGGGAGGCAGCAGUGGGGAAUAUUGGGCAAUGGAGGAAACUCUGACCCAGCAACGCCGCGUGAAUGAUGAAUGUCUUCGGAUUGUAAAGUUCUUUUCUAAGGGAAGAAGAAAGUGACGGUACCUUAGUAAUAAGCCUCGGCUAACUACGUGCCAGCAGCCGCGGUAAUACGUAGGAGGCGAGCGUUAUCCGGAAUGACUGGGCGUAAAGGGUGCGUAGGUGGUUUGGCAAGUUAGUAGCGUAACUUCAAGGCUCAACCUUGGAACUACUACUAAAACUGUUGGACUUGAGUGCAGGAGGGGUAACCGGAAUUCCUAGUGUAGCGGUGAAAUGCGUAGAUAUUAGGAGGAACACCAGUGGCGAAGGCGGGUUGCUAGACUGUAACUGACACUGAGGCACGAAAGCGUGGGGAGCAAACAGGAUUAGAUACCCGGGUAGUC